ACGUGAAAAUGCGUGUAAAAAAGUAACCAGCAAACUUUUGUAGCACAGCCAGCUUCAAGUUACUGAUCACAUUACUUAUUACAGGAUGUUCCCAGGUUGCUAUUGGCUAGUCAGAGCUGGCUUUACAAGGAAGCUGUAUGUUUGUCACCAAAAAACGAGUUCUAUCUCUUACAAAUUCCAAAGACUGUCUCCUGCAGAUCCCCUGAACAUUUUCACUUUUGUUAAAACUGGGACUCAAUCCUCUCUGAACUGGGAUAACAGCUUCCACUCCCACUUCACCUCAACAGGCCCUGGACGCCUAAACACUUCAACCCUCCACACUUGCAAACCUUGGCUGAGCAGAAGUUGUCUCCUACUCGGCACCGCCUACACCAGCAAAUCCAGGCUAAGCCUGGAUUCAAAUGAGCCAAGGUGUGCUGCAGAAAGGAACAGAUGACUGAGAGAGCAAGUUGUAUAGUUAUACGUCCUUACAAAGAAAACUCAGGUGUGAUGAUACAUCCAUAGAGCAGUCUCCUCAGGCCUAACUAGCCUGUGACACCCAUUUACACGCACGUGACUGAUUAACCUUUAACGAUUAACGAUGAACGUCUUUGGAGUGUUGGAGGAAACCCACGAGGUCACGGGGAGAACACAGACACUCCUUACGGGCAGCAGCAGACCUGAAUGGCGCUGUAUUAGCAGUCACUAACCUCUACGCUGCUGUGCUGCCACCAACACUUCGUAACAGGAAAAAGGUGAGAACGUGCCCCUAAAAACACUGGAUGAGCUUGAAACCAUUCGGGGCGAAGUGAAUCACCAACCAGCACCUCAUCGAUGCACAGAGCGUCUGUGGAAUUCACCUGCAGCAAUUUGCCAAGGCUUCAGCAACACCACCAGCUACAUCUGCAGCCCUAACAAAUUGCGAGGAAGUAUGCAGGGAGAUACCGCUGCAUACAAAUCACCUCCUGAGAUGCACCGUGAACCACAUAGAUAUGGAAACAUCACUGUUUUGUUGCCAUCACUAAGUCAAAACACUGAACCUAGCAGUUCAGUGGGCACCCCUUAACCACAAAAAAAAGUCAACUCAUCAUCACUACUAUAGGAACGAGAAACAAAAGCUCGUGUUCUCACAAGGCUCACGUGCUGGGAAUGAGUUAAGAAAUUGUUAUUUGUGGGUAUUCCAAGAACAGGACAUGGUCAGCAGAGUUACCUCCUCUCCCCUGCAGCACCAGGGGGCCUGAAGCCCAACCUAACAUUGUGUUGGAGGUCCACGCCAGACACCACCCCUGCAAUGAAUGAGCACAGCUCCAAUCCAAUGCACGGGUUCCUCUUCCAGUAUACUACAUUAUGUCAGAGUCAUUGCGCCUUACACCGCAUAAGCAGCCCAUGUUAGCCACCACGCACCCUGUCACACUCACCCUAUGCACCAGCACAUGGUCGGUGGCUUUUGCCAUUUCCAGUGCUCAUCUGGACAGUUCAUAAACGCACCAGGAUUAGCCCUGCUCACCAGGUGCUCGGGCAGUGCUUUCUAGAUUUCAGCUACCUCUCAGGUGACUAAAAUUCCUCUGAAUGUCUGCCCCCUCAUCUUAACCCUAUGCCUUUUGGUUAUAGACAGCUCUGCAAUAGAGAGAAGUCUCCUCCCUGUCCAUUCCUUAUAAGCCCCUCCACAUCUUUGUAUUCUUCAAUCAGGAUGUGGCCCACCCCAGUUGGGAGGACCACUUACGCAAGGCCUGGGUAUGACUUCACUAUUAGAGUGAA